rnacentral:rRNA from 1 species
CCUACGUGUGGCAGCAGUCGGGAAUAUUUCGCAAUGGAGGAAACUCUGACGCAGUGACGCCGCGUGCAGGAAGAAGGUUUUCGGAUUGUAAACUGCUUUAGACAGGGAAGAAAAAAGACAGUAUCUGUAGAAUAAGCUCCGGCUAACGACGUACUAGCAGCCGCGGAAAAACGUAGGGAGCAAGCGUUAUCCGAAUUUAUUGGGUGUAAAGGGUGCGUAGGCGGGGAAGCAAGUUAGUUGUGAAAUCCCUCGGCUAAACUGAGGAACUGCAACUAAAAUUACUUUCCUUGAGUAGUGGAGAGGAAAGUGGAAUUCCUGGUGUAGCGGUGAAAUGCGUAGAUAUUAGGAGGAACACCAGUGGCGAAGGCGACUUUCUGGACAGUAACUGACGUUGAGGCACGAAGGUGUGGGGAGCGAACGGGAUUAGAUACCCUGGUAGUC